rnacentral:rRNA from 1 species
UACGUAGGGUCCGAGCGUUGUCCGGAAUUACUGGGCGUAAAGAGCUCGUAGGUGGUUUGUCGCGUUGUUCGUGAAAACUCACAGCUUAACUGUGGGCGUGCGGGCGAUACGGGCAGACUUGAGUACUGCAGGGGAGACUGGAAUUCCUGGUGUAGCGGUGGAAUGCGCAGAUAUCAGGAGGAACACCGGUGGCGAAGGCGGUCUGCUGGGCCAAGACUGACGCUGAGGCGCGACAGCGUGGGGAGCAAACAGG